rnacentral:rRNA from 1 species
GACGAACGCUGGCGGCGUGCCUAAUACAUGCAAGUAGAACGCUGAAGGAGGAGCUUGCUCUUCUGGAUGAGUUGCGAACGGGUGAGUAACGCGUAGGUAACCUGCCUGGUAGUGGGGGAUAACUAUUGGAAACGAUAGCUAAUACCGCAUAAUAACAGUUGUUGCAUGACAACUGUUUGAAAGGUGCAAUCGCAUCACUACCAGAUGGACCUGCGUUGUAUUAGCUAGUUGGUGGGGUAACGGCUCACCAAGGCGACGAUACAUAGCCGACCUGAGAGGGUGAUCGGCCACACUGGGACUGAGACACGGCCCAGACUCCUACGGGAGGCAGCAGUAGGGAAUCUUCGGCAAUGGACGAAAGUCUGACCGAGCAACGCCGCGUGAGUGAAGAAGGUUUUCGGAUCGUAAAGCUCUGUUGUAAGAGAAGAACGAGUGUGAGAGUGGAAAGUUCACACUGUGACGGAAUCUUACCAGAAAGGGACGGCUAACUACGUGC